AAUGAACGUUGGCGGCGUGGAUUAGGCAUGCAAGUCGCGCGACAAGGAACCUUCGGGUUCUGGAGGAGCGGCAAACGGGGUAGUAAGGCAUCGGAACGUACCCUCUUGUUGGGAAUAGCCGCGGGAAACUGCGAGUAAUGCCCAAUAAUCCCUACGGGGCAAAGGUCCGCCGCAGGAGGAGCGGCCGAUGUGAUACCAGCUAGUUGGUGAGGUAAUGGCUCACCAAGGCUUAGACGUCUAGGGGGUGUGAGAGCAUGGCCCCCACCACUGGGACGUGAGAUACUGCCCACGACACCUACGGGUGGCGUGCAGUCGA
rnacentral:rRNA from 1 species